rnacentral:rRNA from 1 species
AUUGAACGCUGGCGGAAUGCUUUACACAUGCAAGUCGAACGGCAGCACGGGUGCUUGCACCUGGUGGCGAGUGGCGAACGGGUGAGUAACAUAUCGGAACGUAUCCAAUAAUGGGGGAUAACUAAUCGAAAGGUUGGCUAAUACCGCAUACGCCCUACGGGGGAAAGCUAGGGACCUCCGGGCCUGGCGUUAAUGGAGCGGCCGAUAUCUGAUUAGCUAGUUGGUGGGGUAAUGGCCUACCAAGGCGACGAUCAGUAGCUGGUCUGAGAGGACGACCAGCCACACUGGAACUGAGACACGGUCCAGACUCCUACGGGAGGCAGCAGUGGGGAAUUUUGGACAAUGGGCGCAAGCCCGAUCCAGCCAUUCCGCGUGAGUGAAGAAGGCCUUCGGGUUGUAAAGCUCUUUCGCAAGGGAAGAAAACUUAUCCUCUAACAUAGGAUGAGGUUGACGGUACCUUGAUAAGAAGCACCGGCUAACUACGUGCCAGCCGCCGCCGUAACAC